rnacentral:lncRNA from 1 species
GCAUCAAGUGCUCUAGUCUUUAUAACGCUAGAGUAGUAAUUAAUAGAUUAGACGUGGUGUUUAGUCUUGCAUUUACCUGGAAUUGCACCCAAUUCUGCGGAUUGUUGUGGUAGCCUUAGGGUAGUGACAGCCCUAACGGUCGACGUAUUCCACCACGUUCGGAUCGGUGUUUGUAGGACUGUAGUCAGACCUUCCUAGCCCCCUUCUCAUCUCUUUCUGUGGUUAGUGCUCUGAUGUCCCGAUAUAGAUAAUCUUGAAGUAAUUCUUGAUUCUUAGAUCAACUAGAGAACUCUGAGGAAACUUCCUCUCUUCCCACCAAAAAUAUUCAUAUAGUUAUCCUUAGGCGAUCUUGGAUCUUAAUUAGUACACUCACGUUCUCUGUGGAAAAUCGAUACUCUGGAAUACUCCCGGGUGAAGGCUACAUCGGUAUCCGUGCGCUUGCGGAUUUUUCUGUUUGCGUUUAAAAUACCCAACAAGCUUUCUGGCGCCGUUGCCGGGGAUCGGUAGCUGUGCUAGUUUCGAACCAAGUCGUCCGUGUAUUCUUUUUCUUUUCCUUUUUUUACCACACUCACCUUAUCACUUUCACCAUACCACAUGGAUUUCACUCUAAGCAUUAAUGAGCAUGGAAUUUAUUUCAUAGCCACUUCAUUUACUCCAUGCUCAUAUGCAACAUCUUCACAAUCCAUUGGUCUCUCCAACAUCACCACAUUCGAGAUCUCCAACCCCCACUUCCUUUCUAUUUAUAAAAACUUUAAAAGGGCGGUUGUCGAUGCAUAUGUCUAUAAAAAAUUUUGCAGAUCUCGUUGAGUUGAUCUUGAUAUAGGUCAGCGUUGGAGGGGAAACCACUUCGCCGACAUAAAUUGAUGGUUUCCCAAGGACAAGCUUAGUGUCCUAAAACAAACACUGAUCAGAUCGUAACAUGAGCUUUUAAUUAUUUGCAACAUUACCUUGUGUGUUGAGCAUAUCAGGAUAAUUAUAAAAAUAUUCCUUCGGGUAUUCUUGUCACUAACCUUUUCAGGAUUGGAGCAAGAAGAUCGGAUGAAUGACAAGCACAAGGUAUGUCCAACCAACCAUCAUACAACAUUGAAUUAAAUUAUCCAAACUUGAAUUUUGCAAAAUUCAAGCUUGGGGGAGUACUUUACAUAAAAACAUCCUUUGCCAUGUUGCUAUGUUGGUUGUCCCGACCUUUGAGACAUGCUCAAUCUGUUAAAUACUAAUCACACUACUUCAUCUCCACUUGAGUAGAUCUCUAUAAAUGCUCUCAUGCUACCUUUAUUUGCUUUAGUAUAUGUCUAGGCUUGGAGUAGUUUCAUUUGUCUCUUAAUUAAGCAUGGUGCUUAGUUUAGGGCUGAUGAUCUUACUUCCAAGGGAGUUUAAAUUAAGCAUGAUGCUUAAGUUAAAAUGCCCUCCUAAAUCAAAUUAGACUUGGUGUCUAGGUUGAUCUUUGAGCCGAUAGUAUGCUAUAGUAGAUAUUGGAUAUUUUGUUGGACUAACCCCUGCAGGAAAACUUUCAAUAUCGACUUGGGAAGUCCUGAGAUAAACUCACAUUGGAGACAAAGAGAGAGACACAUGAAGUUUAACAAUUUACACAAGGAAGGCAUAGCUCACAAGAGAUGAUCCAUGGAGGGUGCCACAAACACGAUGCACAACCACUAAGAAAGAAAAGCUUCCACAAGGUGAUAUUGUACCAUCACUCUUCAAGUAAGGUAACAUCUUAAGGUACUUGACUAUCACUUUUAUAAAGCUUCUCCUUGGUUCUGGCGUUCACAUGAAUAAAAAAGACAAACAUAUAUGAUUUACAACUCUAGAUUAACCAACCGAAUCGAUUCAAUAUGUUUAGUCAUUUCAUCUCUGUGAUCCCACACUCCUAAUCAUAUGAACUAAAAUGUUGCACACUUAAUCUUUGGAAAAUGAUAGUCAUGUAAAGAAAAAAAAUUUACUUAGAUAGAUUAUCUUUCCAUAAGGUUGAGUGAUCUGAUCUGACAAAUGUUUUAAAUGUUACACUCAUGGUCUUAUUAUCCAUCAACUUUGUCUUUCUCACUAUGCUUAAGGUUAGAGAGAACAAAAACACUUUUGGUUCUGUUGGUGUUUUCCACCAACAGGGCCCAUGCACUUGAUCUCUGCCUUGUCUCUAUGAGCAGGUACACUUUGAGCAAAAUAUGAAGGACUUUUACAACUCUCAGACUCCACCAAGUGAAGAACCUAGAUCUACGAGCACAAACACACUGGAGAGACUCGACACUCAGGCAAUCACUGCCCUGAGAUGCUUGAGGACGUAACUACUAGAGUAACCCCAUUGUGGAAGUAAUUACUAACCUUCUGCCGGUCAAGAGAGACAAUCCAGGACGCCCCGUCAUCCCGAUCUCCAUCCGCAUGGUGGACUUCCUAGAAGCACUCUGCGACUUUGGCUCCAGCGUCAACAUUAUGCCCAUGGUACUCUGUGAAAAAAUCUUUACAUAUCCUUUAUUGGAAACAACCAUGUGUUUGCAGCUUGCAGAUUGGACGCUAAGUUUUCCAAAGGGAAUAUUAAGGAACCUCUGCGUCCGUGUUGGUACCUUGUACGCUCCAGCAGACUUCAUGGUGAUAGAGACUGGUACUGAUGAGAGGGCACCCAUCAUUCUAGGGAGGCCAUUCGUGAACACCUCGGGAGUAGUCAUCCACACUAGUUCUGCCAAGAUCAGUUUCUACAUCAAGAGAACGAAGGAGACGUUUUACUUCAAGAACAAAACUACACCAAUCUCAGAGCAAUCCUGACAUGAACCAAGGAAAGGACCAACAGGAGGAACAGAAACAAGCAAUUGUGGACUGAGUCAGCUAAGAUGGUCACUGCUGCUCAAGGAGGUCAAGAUCGUCAACUCAAGUUGCCUUUCUUGAUCAAGAAGGAUGACGUUGGUGUUCCAAGCAUCGAGUGCACAAUCAACGGAUAUUUUUUCAGAAGAUACUCUACGACACCGGAUCUGACGUCAACAUAAUGGCCGCAGUCACUUAUCAGCUCCUGCAUGGAACCAUGCCCCUACAACCGACAUACAUUCAGCUCUAGAUGGCAGAUCAGACAUUCCGUAAGGUUAUUGUCAUGGGAGAAGACGAGUACAAUCCACCCAUCAUGCUUGGAAGACCGUUCCUCAGCACCGUUAAAGCAAUCAUCUACAUUGGAACCGGAGAAGUCCACAUGAACUUCCCCUCUGAGAAGGCACGCCGCUAGUUUACUAACCCUAACUAUAUAGUUGAAGACUCUAAGCAGGUUAGGACAAGAAGAAGACGACGCAACCGCAACCCAAGGAGGCAAAUCAUCAAGGACGGAUGAGCAAACUACGAAGGAGAAGUAGUAAGGUCUGAAGACAUACAGCUUGAUCAGAACUGUCCUGAGGAGACCGUAGCACCGAGUCAGGUGUGGAGAGAGAAGAUAGUUAUACAUGAAGAGGAGGCGCCGCCGGAACCACCGACUACGCCAUCCAGCGAUCCUAGGACGACUGUAGAAACGGAGAGUCCCCGUUCGGAGGACUUAGACACACCGUACGCCCUGCCCAAGAGGUAAGCUUGGUAGUUAUCUUUCCCGUUCAAAUAUUUUAAAAUAGUUUGCUUAGUUAAUCAGGUUCAUAUCAUCUUGAAAAGAAAAUAAAAAUGUUAAAAAUAGUAAGCCCCAUGUAAGUAUGCUCAUGGCAUAAAACCCAUAAGUACAUUCACUGUGGUGGCAUAAAAAUAAAAUAAAUAUAUUCCUGUCCUAUAAAAAUAAAAAUAUAAAAAUAAAUUUAUGAUCCUACUAAAGAGAGUAACAUUUAUUCGGGAGACUCAACAUGAUAAAGGCUAAAUAUUUAUGCUAACACUUAACUAGUUCCACAAAGCUUUGUUGUCUAUUUGAGCUCCACAGAAUUCAAGGAUCAAAGAAGUCUAGCAGACGGAGGAUAUCCUAAUUGCUGUCAAAGUGCUGCCGACAUUCAAAUACACCUCUGCCACCUGCUAGCUACAUCAGACGAAAUUACAUCAAAAUCCAGCUUGGGGGAGAGCACCCCCAUUUAAUCAGCUAAGUGUUCUACUCACGUUUAUACUUUACUCAAAUAAUAAAAAGAUGCAUAAUCAUAAAAACUCAAAUAAAGAUUUUGUGCUUAUAUAUAUCUUUGCUUAGUCUGCUAAAUAAAUAAAUAAAUAUAGUUUGCUAUGAACCCUCAUGGUAAGCUCUCACAUGGAAAUGAUGAAUAGUUGCUCUGCCAUGACUAGUUCUCAAAAUUGAAAUCUCUCUCAAGUUUAGGCAUGACUGUUAUUAAUUAAGAUUUGCUCUAAACGUGAACUUGUGGGAAGAGUACUUGAUCUAAAGUCUAAGUCGUUAACGGAUAUGAUAUGGGAAGGUUGAGCUGCUGUUUAUCUGUUCCUAGAGAUGCUAGAAUUCUGGAGAAUUUUAUCUUUGAAAAUCUUUAAAAUAUUGUAUGAUGAGUUCCUGUAUGAUGAGAGUUUAAAUUCCUACCACAGCCAUAUAUACAUGCUUAUUGGACUAUGAACCAUUCAUUUACUUUUUACUGCUUAUGAGCAUUUAGUGUAGUCAAGCUGUGUAGACCCUUAGGAGCUUGUCAUGUGGUUAAGUCAAGAUUCACUUGCACGUUCACUCACACAUGCUGCUUCUACUCCGGAAGUACGCAUCCACAUAUAUCCACCCAUUUCCAUAUCCAGAAUCACCUAAAAAUAUUCUACUCCUAAUCCGGGAGAGAAUAGCCAAAAACAUUUUUGUUUUUCCCUGUGAAAUAAAUGCUCAAGUUAUCUUGGUUACUACCACUUGCUAUAUUAUUUCAGGAGAUGUGUGCUCUAAAAAAAGAGAAAAAAAAGAAAGAAUACGAGGAAAUAAAAAGGGGCAAGUGCCCGGAACCUCGAAAGAAAAGAAAAAAGUGAGACGAGAGGUAAAAAUGGACAAGUGUCCGACAGUAGAAUUAGGGGUACAAGAUACCCACCUGAGAGAAAAGAAAAAAAAAGAAGAAAAGAAAAUAUAGAGCAUCUCAUUCCCCUCAAAAAGUUUCAAAAGAGCAAGAAAGGUAUGUCCCCUCAAAAGAGCACAAGUAGAAUUAGACUUUCACCAUUGUUAUCAGCAUCAUCACCAUACAUCAUUCAUUCGCCACACAUGCGCAUCUUGAUUUGACUUAUUGACUUGUUCUUCUGGAUCCAUGGUUUGACUAUACUAUAAAUGUCUUGUAAGUAUGUAUUAGCUGUCUCCCACCUAUGAGCUCCAGAUAUCAAAAACCUUAUUAGAGUAGGGUGAGAGAGAAGGCAAUGCCACUAUGCCUCAUACUAAAAAUACCACAUACUUUGAGAGAAGGCAUACACCUUUAUUGCCUUGGUAAGGAUCCAGAAAUACCAUAAAAGAGAGAUAUGAGACAGUCAUACAAGGAAUCUCUGAGUUUUAUUUGAAAAUCUGCAAAAACUCCAGAGCUAUAGUUAAUCGAAGAACAAGAGAUAUGGUGCUUGACUAGACUAUUCUAUCUUUUAAAUACUCAAGACAGAAGUGACGGUUACAAGUCCCAUGGUGAAAGGUAAAUGAGUAAGUUUUAAGUCUUAACAGUUUACUCUAACCAGAGAUGAGAUCUUGUUUAAACGCAUGUGUAUCUUUAAGUUAUGAAACCACUGCAGAAACUCUUGAGUUCAUCUUUGCUCAGGGACGACAAAGGUUAAGCUUGGGGGAGCUUAUUGACGGUCCUUAAUGCUCACAAUUAACCAUCAACUAAUCAUAGAAAAGGAUCCAAAUGCAACCAACACCUAGACUUAGGGUUUUAUCUGACAGAAUUCCACGAGUUUUGGUGUUUGUCUAUUUCUACAGGGGGUUAUCAGGAAAUACGGAAGAAAGGCCCACACGUCGGGUUUACAUAGAGAUAUUAACAUGUCGCGCAAUUUUCUAUCAUCUAGAAGACUCCAGAAGCCACAGGAACGAACGGGAAGGAAAUCGGGCUCGGAGGCAGGGCGCCCGCCCAACUCUCCUGGGCGCCCGCCCAGCUACAGUGCCCAAUCAGGACACGUUUCGCGGAUUAUGCUCCACCGACCUAAAGGAUCAAGGAAAACCGUGCGAUCAAUGUCGGUUUGAUCCGACGGCCCAGAUUCACUUGAAGGGACUAUAAAACCAGACCCCCCUGGCCCCUGGAGAUCAUACCUCUUCUACAGAAUCAAAGCUAGGGUUUCAAUUCUUCAUCCAAGUAGAGAGGAUCCCUCUAGUUCUUCUAGUUCUACCUCUAGUUCAUCUAGAUCUAGUUCUAGUUCAUCUAGUUCUAGUUCUAGUUCCUCUAGUUCUAGUUCUAGUUAGUUCUAGUUGUAAUCUAGAAAAUAGGGAGAGAGAAGAGGAGAGCGGAGGAGGAGCCGGAUCUGUCGGAUCUUCCUCAACAUUAUACUUUUGCAGCAUCUGGUUCGUUCUUCAUCGUUCUCGAGGUUCUUCAACUCAUAAUUCCUGAGUUCUUUAAUUACUUUUAUUUACAUUCAAGUUAUUUAUUGGAUUCCCGCUUGCAUCAAGUGCUCUAGUCUUUAUAACGCUAGAGUAGUAAUUAAUAGAUUAGACGUGGUGUUUAGUCUUGCAUUUACCUGGAAUUGCACCCAAUUCUGCGGAUUGUUGUGGUAGCCUUAGGGUAGUGACACCCCUAACAGUCGACGUAUUCCACCACGUUCGGAUCGGUGUUUGUAGGACCGUAGUCAGACCUUCCUAGCCCCCUUCUCAUCUCUUUCUGUGGUUAGUGCUCUGAUGUCCCGAUAUAGAUAAUCUUGAAGUAAUUCUUGAUUCUUAGAUCAACUAGAGAACUCUCAGGAAACUUCCUCUCUUCCCACCAAAAAUAUUCAUAUAGUUAUCCUUAGGCGAUCUUGGAUCUUAAUUAGUACACUCACGUUCUCUGUGGAAAAUCGAUACUCUGGAAUACUCCCGGGUGAAGGCUACAUCGGUAUCCGUGCGCUUGCGGAUUUUUCUGUUUGCGUUUAAAAUACCCAACACCGACAUGUGGGCCUUUCUUCCUUAUUUCCUGAUAACCCCCUGCAGAAACAGGUAAACAACAAAACUCGUGGAAUUCUGUCAGAUCAAACCCUAAUUCUAGGUGUUGGUUGCAUAUUGGUCCUUUCCCUUGUUUAUUUGAUAAUUAAAAUUGAUACUUAAGAACCGUCAAAAUAUACCCCCAUACUUAGGCUUUUACUCGUCCUCGAGAAAAGGAUGUUUAAGAAAAAUAUCUGGGGUAAACAUUUAAAACAUUCUCUUUAUAAUUGUAGGGUGUUAAAAAUCCACUGUGUACCAUAGUCAGGGAAGUUUAUGGUUAAGAGUAAAGAUCCUUUCUUCUCAAUCCUGUUACUUGGCGUUUUUUGUAUAUUUUUGAAAGAAAGUUAGCAUACCUUUUAUCCUCAUAGGUUCUUCUCAGAUCACUCAUUAUCUUUUAUAUAUCUCACUGAGGUUGUUUUAAUUUGCAAAAAUUCUCAAGCAUACUUACUUUGCAUUUAUUGCCUGAUCAAAACGGGAUCCGAGGACGGGAAUGUCAUACUCUUAGAUCAAAGACUUUGGAAAUUAAAAUCUUUGUCAACUCUUGCUAGCAUAUUGCUUAUUAGAGGGACCAUGGGCUAUCAUUUUCUCUUUUUUCUCUUUUUUUUUAAGUGGAUACCGAGGUACCCCUAAUUCUACUGUCGGACACUUGUCCAUUUUUUUCUGCGAGGUUGUCGAGCACUUGCUCCUUUUUAUUUCCUCGAAAUAUCUCUAUUUUUGCAUAGCCCAUGCCUCUAAUGCAAUAAUACUUCGGAAGAGUGAAUCUUUCUGAAUAAAUGUCUUGAUCUUAGGAGCAUGAUAAAUCUCUCAACAAGGGUCUAACUCAUUUUCAACAAACUCAAUACCAAGUAGAUAGCUUUUAUAAUCAUAAUUAAUAUUUUCAGUUUUAUCAGGCAUAUAAAACACUGAGGAUGGUAGCUAGAAUUUUGAAAUAAAUUCUCCAAGCAACAAUGAUAUCAAGAGUAAGAAACUCAUACUCUACCAUCUCACAUUCCAUACUGUCUUAAGUAACACAGGGUUUUGAAAUGAUUUUAUAAUAGUUAUAAGUUUUAGGAAAUACCAUAGAGUGAGAUUAAUCAUGAUUAGAAAUAUUUUAAUCUUUUUAAUUUAUCAUGUCGGAAACAAUAUUCUGCAUAAUCCAAGAUAUAUGUAUGUGUAAAGUAAAGUGUGCAGAGUGUGUACCUGACUCGUGGAGUGGUGUAGUUGGAGUGUGUUUGGCAUGUUGAGGGAUCUCCCCCAUACUUGUUUUCUACUUUCUUGCACAAAAAUAAAGUAGAGACACACAAGACAUAAUAAUAAUAAUAAUACUCUUUAUUAAUCUUGAGGCAUUUAUUACAAAAGACUAGUAGUAAACUGAUAGCAAACUGAUGAUAAUAGUAAACCUAAACCGAAUUUAAAGAUAGAUGACUAAGAUGCAUUGCCUCAAGGUCUAAUCUAAAUAACUUAGCGGCGCUCUAAUUUCUUAAUCUUCUUGUUGGCACUGGCAAGAUCAUGCCUAAGGCCUAGUAUAACGGUGUUGUGGUUAGAGAGCUGUCUAGUGAGGGA